rnacentral:rRNA from 1 species
CAAAUCGAGCGGUAGAAAGAAGCUUGCUUCUAUUGAGAGCGGCGGACUGGGUGAGUAAAGCCUAGGAAUCUGCCUUGUAACUGGGGAUAACGUUCGGAAACGGACUCUAAUACCGGCAUACGUCCUACGGGAGAAAGCAGGGACCUUCGGGCCUUUCGCUAUCAGAUGAGCCUAGUUGGAAUUAGGUAGUUGGUGAUGUAAUGGCUCUCCAAGGUGCCAAUCCGUAACUGUUUGAGAGGAUGAUCAGUCGCCCGGGAAUUGAGACCCGGUUCCAGACUCCUACGGGAGGCAGCAGUGGGGAAUAUGGACAAUGGGCAAAAGCCUGAUCCAGCCAUUCCACGUGGUGAAGAAGGUCAUCGGGAUUGUAAAGCACUUUAAGUUGGGAGGAAGGGGCAUUAACCUAAUUCGUUAGUGUUUUGACGUUCCCGACAGAAUAAGCACCGGCUAACUCUGUGCCAGCAGCCGCGGUAAUACAGAGGGUGCAAGCGUUAAUUGGAAUUACUGGGCGUAAAGCGCGCGUAGGUGGUUUGUUAAGUUGGAUGUGAAAUCCCCGGGCUCAACGUGGGAAAUGCAUUCAAAACUGGCUGAAUAGAGUAUGGUAGAGGGGGGUGGAAUUUCCUGUGUAGCGGUGAAAUGCGUAGAUAUAGGAAGGAACACCAGUGGCGAAGGGGACCCCCUGGACUAAUACUGACACUGAGGUGGGAAAGGGUGGGGAGCAAACAGGAUUAGAUACCC